rnacentral:rRNA from 1 species
GACGAACGCUGCCGGCGUGCUUAACACAUGCAAGUCGAACGGUGAACGGGGGAGCUUGUUGGCUUCGGAGAAGAGGCUACCGGGCGGGUAAGAGGUGAGCAAUCUGCCCCGAAGUCGGGGAUCAGCGGUGGAAGUGACGUUUAAUACUGGAUACGCUGUGGGCGGGCAUCUUUUCCGCCUGUAGCGACCUCCGGUGCGGGUUGAGCUCGCGGCCCAUCAGCUGGCUGGUGAGGUGACGGCACACGGAGGCGACGACGGGUAGCCGGCCUGAUCGGGUCACCUGCCACACUGGGACUGAGACACGGCCCAGACUCCUACGGGCGGCAGCAGUGGGGAAGAUUGCACAAUGGGCGCACGCCCGAUGCCGCAACGCCGCGUGCGGGACGACGCCCUUCGGUUUGUAAACCUCUUUUCGCCGGGAAGAAGCGAAAGUGACGGUACCUGCAGAAAAAGCACCGGCUAACUACGUG